rnacentral:rRNA from 1 species
GAGUUUGAUUAUGGCUCAGGAUGAACGCGGCGGCGUGCCUAACACAUGCAAGUCGAACGGGGUUAUACUGGUUAGUUUACUAAGCGAUAUGACUUAGUGGCGGACGGGUGAGUAACGCGUGAGGACCUAUCCCAAGCAGGGGGACAACAGCUGGAAACGGUUGCUAAUACCGCAUAAGCGCAUAAUCUGCGUAAAAGGAGAGAUCCGGCAUGGGAGGGGCUCGCGUCCUAUCAGCUAGUAGGUGGGGUAAAGGCCUACCUAGGCGAUGACGGGUAGCCGGCCUGAGAGGGCGCACGGCCACACUGGGACUGAGAUACGGCCCAGACUCCUACGGGAGGCAGCAGUGGGGAAUGUUGGGCGAUGGGGGGAACCCUGACCCAGCGACGCCGCGUGAGUGAAGAAGUCCUUCGGGACGUAAAGCUCUGUUGUGUGGGAAGAAGAGGGUGACG